UACAGAGGGGGCAAGCGUUGUUCGGAAUUACUGGGCGUAAAGGGCGCGUAGGUGGCCUUCUAAGUUGAACGUGAAAUCCCUGGGCUCAACCCAGGAACUGCGUCCAAGACUGGGAGGCUUGAGUCCGGGAGAGGGAUGCGGAAUUCCAGGUGUAGCGGUGAAAUGCGUAGAUAUCUGGAGGAACACCGGUGGCGAAGGCGGCAUCCUGGACCGGGAUUGACACUGAGGCGCGAAAGCCAGGGGAGCAAACGGG
rnacentral:rRNA from 1 species